rnacentral:rRNA from 1 species
UGGGGAAUUUUGCACAAUGGGGGAAACCCUGAUGCAGCGACGCCGCGUGAUUUAGAAGGCCUUCGGGUUGUAAAAAUCUUUUCUAUGGGAAGAAAAUGACAGUACCAUAGGAAUAAGGACCGGCUAAUUACGUGCCAGCAGCCGCGGUAAUACGUAAGGUCCGAGCGUUGUCCGGAAUCAUUGGGCGUAAAGGGUACGUAGGCGGAAAUGCAAGUCAGGUGUAAAAGGCAGUAGCUUAACUACUGUAAGCAUUUGAAACUGCAUAUCUUGAGAAGAGUAGAGGUAAGUGGAAUUUUUAGUGUAGCGGUGAAAUGCGUAGAUAUUAAAAAGAAUACCGGUGGCGAAGGCGACUUACUGGGCUCAUUCUGACGCUGAGGAACGAAAGCGUGGGUAGCAAACAGG